rnacentral:rRNA from 1 species
UGGGGAAUAUUGCACAAUGGGCGCAAGCCUGAUGCAGCCAUGCCGCGUGUAUGAAGAAGGUCUUCGGGUUGUAAAGUACUUUUAGUCGGGAGGAAGGUGGUAAGGUUAAUAACCUUAUCAAUUGACGUUACCGACAGAAGAAGCACCGGCUAACUCCGUGCCAGCAGCCGCGGUAAUACGGAGGGUGCAAGCGUUAAUCGGAAUUACUGGGCGUAAAGCGCACGCAGGCGGUUGAUUGAGUCAGAUGUGAAAUCCCCGGGCUUAACCCGGGAAUUGCAUCUGAUACUGGUCAGCUAGAGUCUUGUAGAGGUGGGUAGAAUUCCAUGUGUAGCGGUGAAAUGCGUAGAGAUGUGGAGGAAUACCGGUGGCGAAGGAGGCCCCCUGGACAGAGACUGACGCUCAGGUGCGAAAGCGUGGGGAGCAAACAGG